GGUUGUGGUUCAGCGGUAGAGCGCUCGGCUCGCACGUGUGGAACCCUGGGUUUGAACCUCAGCACCA
rnacentral:tRNA from 1 species